rnacentral:ncRNA from 2 species
AUAUUUGCACCGAAUUUUGGUUUUGAUGUAAAAUUCAUUUUGCAUCAAAUUAAAAGGGAAUCUGGUUAAAAUCCAGAACUGUUCCCGCAACUGUAAGUUUUUGCUGAAUUUUUCAGCACCUUACUUUUUUAAGGAUGUUAUUAAUUCUUAAACCACUGACAAUCAUUGUUGGGAAGGUCUAAUAACAUAAAACAAGUCAGGAGACCUGCCACUUUUCACGAGUUAAA